ACGAGGGUCGUCUGAAUAUUAUCCGGAAUUUGAAGACCGUUCCGAACCUGGUUAGCUUUCUGCGUGCGUGAUCGAGACUAUCCUUGUUUUUGCUUGAAUUCUUGAAACUGUGGUGCAUUUAAACCCUGAUUAGCAAAAGCAAAAUUAACUGGUAGUUUAAACUUCUGAAACCCAAAAUUCUAAGCAACGCCUCAAUCACGAAAAAAACACCAGGAAUCUUAUUCCCUUCAUGUGUUCUGUCUCCCCUCUUGUAGAAUAAUAAAAAAAAGGAAUGGUAGAACAACACAAAGAAACAGAGUUUCGAAGAGAAGGGGAAGAGAGCAGCCAUGGGCUCCGGCAAUUGUGAGUUCAGGCCUCUGGGCUUUCUUCUGGGGCUCCCCUUUGCUUUCCUCUCCCUCUUCAUCUCCAUGGCCGGCGCCAUCGUCUGGAUGUAUGGAGUGAUGAUCACUGUUGUUUGCACUUGCUGCCCAAAUGCGCCGAAGGUGAUUGAGCGGGGUCACGUGCUAAUGAGGACGCCAAUCCGCGUCAUGAGGUGGUUCAUGGAAACGAUCCCUUGCUAGCUACAUAUAUCGCAAUUAUUAGUUAGUUAUAUGCGUAUAUUGUUGUUAUUAAUAUUAUUGUUGGAUAAAUCUGGAUGUGGGUCUUGGCGCUGUGUUCCUACUAAUAGUACAGUUUUUCUGUG